rnacentral:lncRNA from 1 species
AUUCAUUUCAAGUCGCCAGUGUUCACCAUUUACUAUCAUAAAAUGAGCUUCUCAGAUAGCAGAAACAACUCCUUUCCAGGAGGGAAAAAAAAGGAAAAAAUGAAAAUGGGGCUGAUCAAGGCCUUCACAAUCCUCUGCUCAUGGUUUUUACUGGCUUCGGCAGAAAGAUCUACUUACAUAGUCCAUAUGGACAAAUCUUUGAUGCCCAAGGCUUUUUCCAGUCACCGUUAUUGGUACUCUUCCACUCUUCAAUCCGUUAAAUCAGUUGGACUGACCUCAUUAGGUGCUCAAAAUCCUUCACCAAAGCUUGUAUAUACAUAUGACCAUGCCUUUCAUGGAUUCAGUGCUGUGCUGUCCACAGAUGAAUUGGAAGCUUUGAAGAAGUCAACAGGGUUUCUUUCGGCUUAUCCAGACGGUAUUGUCAUGCCUGACACCACGCAUACUUACAAAUUUCUUUCUCUCAAUACUGCCACAGGCAUAUGGCCAGCAUCUGAGUAUGGUAAAGAUGUGAUUAUUGGUAUUAUUGACAGCGGUGUCUGGCCAGAAAGUCCGAGCUUCAAAGAUGAUGGAAUGACAGAAAUUCCUGCUAGAUGGAAGGGAAUUUGCCAGCCAGGUGAAGAGUUCAAUUCUUCAAUGUGCAAUAAGAAACUCAUAGGAGCAAGAUACUUCAAUCAGGGAGUUCAGGAAGCAAAUCCCGGGCUUACCAUAAUAAUGAAUUCUGCAAGGGAUGAUUCAGGUCAUGGCACACACGUGGCGGCCACUGCAGCUGGAAACUACGUUGAUGGUGUUUCAUUCUUUGGCUACGCUCCAGGAAUGGCGAGAGGAGUGGCUCCACGUGCUAGGCUUGCUGCAUAUAAAGUCCUCUGGAAUGAAGGAAACCUUGAAUCCGAUGUUCUCGCAGGUAUUGACCAGGCUGUGGCUGAUGGAGUUGAUGUACUGUCAAUUUCUCUGAGUUAUGGUAGGACUAAUUUGUAUGAAGAUCCUAUUGCCAUAGCUGCAUUCGGUGCCACAGAGAAGGGAAUCUUUGUUUCUACUUCAGCAGGAAACAGCGGACCAGAUUUCGGAACUUUAAUAAAAGGAAUCCCCUGGGCAGUGUUAGUGGCUUCGGGAACUGUUGAUCGUUGGUUUGCCGGGACCUUAACUCUAGGGAAUGGUUUGUCCAUCACCGGAUGGAGCUUGUUUCCCGCUAGAGCCACAAUCAGAAACUUGUCUCUCACUUACAAUGAAACCUUAUCUGCCUGCAAUUCAACUGAAUUACUGUCUGAAGCCCCUCAAGGUGGUAUCAUCAUAUGUAACCAAUCUGAUGAAACAGUAGACUUCUUUUUCCUGUGGCGGUAUCUGUCGGAAUCCAAUGUUCGUGCAGCCGUAAUCAUAUCCGAAGAUACUGGUAUACUUCGAUCAGACACUUUUCCUUUCCCAGGAGUGGUAAUUACCCCCAAAGAUGCGAAAGAUGUAAUCAACUACGCAUCUAAGAGUGCUGACCCACUUGCUAGCAUUGAGUUUCAACAAACAAUCUUGGGAACAGAGCCCAGAUCUGCUCCAGCAGUAUCGGGAUCCUCAUCAAGGGGUCCUGGACGAAGCUACCCAGGCAUACUAAAGCCAGACAUAAUGGCACCAGGAGUGUUAAUCUUAGCAGCCUACUAUCCUUAUACUAAUGUUGCAAGCAUUGGUAACAACAUAUUCUUGUCCAGUGACUACACACUCUUGUCAGGUACAUCAAUGUCUUGUCCUCAUAUAUCUGGAAUUGCAGCCCUUCUCAAAGCCACACAUCCCGACUGGAGUCCUGCAGCUAUUCGAUCCGCCAUGAUGACCACCGCAAAUCCACUUGAUAACACUCAGAAACCCAUCAAGGACAUGGGAAACGAUUAUCAAGUUGCUACGCCACUCGACAUGGGGGCAGGACAAGUUGAUCCUAAUCGCGCUCUUGAUCCAGGACUCAUUUAUGAUGCUACCCCACAAGACUACGUAAACUUUGUUUGUGCGUUGAAUUUUACUCGAGAACAAACUCAAACUAUCAUACGAUCAAGCUACAAUUGCUCAAAUUCAUCAUUGGAUCUGAAUUAUCCAUCUUUCAUCGCUCUUUACGACAUUGAAGAAAAAGGAAGUGCAUUGAAUCAAAAAUUCCACAGGACUGUCACAAAUGUAGGAGAUGGUGUUGCUACAUACAAAGUCAAAGUUAAAAGACCAAAGGAUUCUACCAUCACUGUAUCACCAGAAACAUUAGUCUUCCAAAAGAAGUACGAGAAUCGAAGCUAUUCUGUGAGCAUACGUUAUAGGAGUUACAGUAGGACUGUUAUUAACGAUGGUUCACUCACUUGGAUUGACGAGAAUGGCAAGCACUCGGUGAGGAGUCCCAUUGUGGUUACUCGACGAGUCUUUAAUGACUAGGUUUUAUGGCAUUAUAACGAUAUGUAUCCUUCAUCAUUUUAGUAGAACAUAAUCCUAUUCCAAUUCUUAAAACUAAUGCCAACUACAGGAAACAUUGGUAUGGCUAAAUUAAAAGUGCAUGGAUUAUAUUAAAAUUGAGAAAAAAAAAAUCUUCAUUUUACCCAUGCAUUUGUUCACGAAAAUGCAAUAUGUCACUAAUCAGGAUAUAUAAUCAGAUGAAUGACGAG